GGGCCCGCACAAGCGGUGGAGCAUGUGGUUUAAUUCGAUGCAACGCGAAGAACCUUACCAGGGUUUGACAUCCUGCGAAUCUCUUGGAAACUUGAGAGUGCCUUCGGGAGCGCAGUGACAGGUGGUGCAUGGCUGUCGUCAGCUCGUGUCGUGAGAUGUUCGGUUAAGUCCGGCAACGAGCGCAACCCACAUCCCUAGUUGCCAGCAGUUCGGCUGGGCACUCUAUGGAAACUGCCCGUGAUAAGCGGGAGGAAGGUGUGGAUGACGUCAAGUCCUCAUGGCCCUUACGGGUUGGGCUACACACGUGCUACAAUGGUAGGGACAAUGAGCUG
rnacentral:rRNA from 1 species